GUUACUGUAUGCUAAUGUGAUUAGUUUCUGGCUCAUCUCUUUGUUACGGCCUUCCACGUUCUGCAUUAGUGAAUGUGUGAUAUUAGUGAAUGUAUGACAAGCCUGCACAAGCAAGUUCAUUCAAAAGUUCUCGAAAGAGAAGUCAAGAGAUUUGAAAGGAAAAGUUUAUAAGACCAAUUUCUACGCAUAAUAUAAGGCAAAUUUUUGAUACCGACACUAAUCGAAAUUAAAAAAAAAUAAAGGUUAUUAAGAAAGCUCGAAAGAAAGUCCACACGAGUUUCUCGAAAGAAAAUUAUCCUUUGGAUUAAACACGGCAAUUUCUUUUUUUCCCCCUUUUACUUCUACACAACUUUAAAGUUUCUUUUGUUCUAGCCUAAAAAUAAAAAAAUGUUAAAAUGUCAAAUGUGUAAUUUCACGUUUCCUUCUAUUCUUUUGUACAAUAAGCAUCAGAUCUUGCAUAAAAACAUGUCUCAUUUACAAAUAACUUGUUUUUUUAGAGGUUGCGGAAAACAAUUUAACAGAUAUUUUAACUUUAAAAAACAUAUUCUUAGAUGGCACACUACAAAUUGCAAUGAACAAAUAGAUGUAAUUUAUCGUUGUAAAGAAAAAGAUUGUAAUGUCUGUUUCACAAGUAGAAGAGAUUUUAAUAGACACUUAUAUCGUCACGUAAGGCAAAGUAAAAUUGGUAUAUAUUGUGGAUACCCAGCUUGUUUUUGUUGCGACAUUAAAUAUCAGUUGCGAUAAAAACACGCGUGGGCCCACGAAAAAGGUUUCGCCGACUUCAGUCGGCAUGCGACAAAGGCUUCGCCGACUUAAGACAACAAACAACCAACAUGUCCGGCGUUAGCCGAUAACCGCGUCACAUAAGAUUAUGACCAUUUAGAUUGGUUACUUAAAAUGUAUUUCUUUUGAUUGGUUCCCUUCUACCACCGCAAGAUGCUAUAUAAGCAGCGAGAUUAAUUCACGAAGCUUAGAUCUGUAUAAUAUCGCGACUUUAUAACAAGCCGAGAUACAUACG